rnacentral:rRNA from 1 species
CGGCGAUACCCGAAUGGGGAAACCCAGUGUGACUCGUCACACUAUCAUUAACUGAAUCCAUAGGUUAAUGAGGCGAACCGGGGGAACUGAAACAUCUAAGUACCCCGAGGAAAAGAAAUCAACCGAGAUUCCCCCAGUAGCGGCGAGCGAACGGGGAGGAGCCCAGAGCCUGAAUCAGCAUGUGUGUUAGUGGAAGCGUCUGGAAAGGCGCGCGAUACAGGGUGACAGCCCCGUACACAAAAGCGCAUGUGCUGUGAGCUCGAUGAGUAGGGCGGGACACGUGGUAUCCUGUCUGAAUAUGGGGGGACCAUCCUCCAAGGCUAAAUACUCCUGACUGACCGAUAGUGAACCAGUACCGUGAGGGAAAGGCGAAAAGAACCCCGGCGAGGGGAGUGAAAAAGAACCUGAAACCGUGUACGUACAAGCAG